rnacentral:sRNA from 1 species
GUAACGCCGCGGACUGUCUAAGUACGAUG